ACUCAAAUGAAUUGACGGGGUCUCGCACAAGCGGUGGAGCGUGUUGUUUAAUUCGACGGUAAGCGAAGAACCUUACCAGGGUUUGACAUCCUGCCAAGGUCUCCGAAAGGAGACUGUGCCUUCGGGCCGCAGUGACAGGUGAUGCAUGGCCGUCUUCAGCUCGUGUCGUGAGAUGUUUGGUUAAGUCCAUCAACGAGCGCAACCCUUAUAGUUAGUUGAAUUUCUCUAGCUAGACUGCCCCGGUAACGGGGAGGAAGGAGGGGAUGAUGUCAGGUCAUUAUUUCCCUUACACCCUGGGCUACAAACACGCUACAAUGGCCGGUACAAAGGGCUGCCAACCCGCAAGGGGGAGCAAAUCCCAUCAAAGCCGGUCUCAGUUCGGAUUGAGGGCUGAAACCCGCCCUCAUGAAGCUGGAAUCGCUAGUAAUGGUAGGUCAGCACACUACCGUGAAUACGUUCCCGAGACUUGUACACACCGCCCGU
rnacentral:rRNA from 1 species